UACGUAGGUGGCGAGCGUUGUCCGGAAUGAUUGGGCGUAAAGGGAGCGCAGGUGGGACGGUAAGUCCUUCUUAAAAGGCAGGGGCUCAGCCCCUGUAAGGGAAGGAAACUAUCGAUCUUGAGUGCCGGAGAGGAAAGCGGAAUUCCCAGUGUAGCGGUGAAAUGCGUAGAUAUUGGGAAGAACACCAGUGGCGAAGGCGGCUUUCUGGACGGCAACUGACACUGAGGCUCGAAAGCCAGGGGAGCGAACGGG
rnacentral:rRNA from 1 species